AUUGAACGCUGGCGGCAUGCCUUACACAUGCAAGUCGAACGGCAGCACGGGUGCUUGCCCCUGGUGGCGAGUGGCGAACGGGUGAGUAAUACAUCGGAACAUGUCCUGUAGUGGGGAAUAGCCCGGCGAAAGCCGGAUUAAUACCGCAUACGAUCUACGGAUGAAAGCGGGGGACCUUCGGGCCUCGCGCUAUAGGGGUGGCCGAUGGCUGAUUAGCUAGUUGGUGGGGUAAAGGCCUACCAAGGCGACGGUCAGUAGCUGGUCUGAGAGUACGACGAGCCACACUGGGACUGAGACACGGCCCAGACUCCUACGGGAGGCAGCAGUGGGGAAUUUUGGACAAUGGGCGAAAGCCUGAUCCAGCAAUGCCGCGUGUGUGAAGAAGGCCUUCGGGUUGUAAAGCACUUUUGUCCGGAAAGAAAUCCUUGGCCCUAAUACGGUCGGGGGAUGACGGUACCGGAAGAAUAAGCACCGGCUAACUACGUG
rnacentral:rRNA from 1 species